UAUGCCGCGUGAGUGAAAAGCUUCGGGUUGUAAAGCUCUUUUGUCAGGAAGAACACCGGCUCUAACACAGUCCGGGAAUGACGGUACCUGAAGAAUAAGCACCGGCUAACUACGUGCCAGCAGCCGCGGUAAUACGUAGGGUGCGAGCGUUAAUCGGAAUUACUGGGCGUAAAGCGUGCGCAGGCGGUUAUACAAGACAGGCGUGAAAUCCCCGGGCUUAACCUGGGAAUGGCGCCUGUGACUGUAUGGCUAGAGUGUGUCAGAGGGGGGUAGAAUUCCACGUGUAGCAGUGAAAUGCGUAGAUAUGUGGAGGAAUACCAAUGGCGAAGGCAGCCCCCUGGGAUAACACUGACGCUCAUGCACGAAAGCGUGGGGAGCAAACAGGAUUAGAUACCCUGGUAGUCCACGCCCUAAACGAUGCUGACUAGUUGUUCGGGAUUUACAUCCUGAGUAACGUAGCUAACGCGUGAAGUCAGCCGCCUGGGGAGUACGGUCGCAAGAUUAGAACUCAAAGGAAUUGACGGGGACCCGUACAAGCGGUGGAUGAUGUGGAUUAAUUCGA
rnacentral:rRNA from 1 species